AUCCAGCUGACAAGUCCCAAAUAGGACGAAACUUGUGUCCUGGAU
rnacentral:hammerhead_ribozyme from 1 species